UCGCCCUCCGUUUAUUUUUAUGGGGGGUCGGACCUGCCCGGUGAUUAGUCAAGUUUCAAAGUUAUAAUAUAAUUAGAAAUUUUUUUAAACGGCUGCAAUUAAUAAUUGUGCUAAGGUAGCGUAAUCAUUUGCCCCUUAAUUAGGGGAAGGUAUGAAUGGUUUGACGUGGGAAAAGCUGUCUCUUUUGUAUAAAAAGAAGUUUAUUUUUGAGUGAAAAAGCUUAAAUGUUUAUAAAAGACGAGAAGACCCUAUCGAACUUGAAUUAUAUAUUUAAAUUUUUAAAUAUAAAAAGUUUAGUUGGGGAAACUUAAAGUUAAAAAAAACGCUUUUUUGUUAUAAAAUGAUCCUGUAUUAUAGAAAAAUGAAAAAGUUACCGUAGGGAUAACAGCGCUUUCUUCUCUGAGAGGACUAAUUAAAGAGUUGGUUGCGACCUCGAUGUUGGAUUAAGGUUUCUUUUUGGGGUAGGAGUUAAAAUAGUAAAACUGUUCGUUUUUUAAAACCUUA
rnacentral:rRNA from 1 species